rnacentral:rRNA from 1 species
AAUAUUGCACAAUGGGCGCAAGCCUGAUGCAGCCAUGCCGCGUGUAUGAAGAAGGCCUCGGGUGUAAAGUACUUUCAGCAGUGAGGAAGUGGGUAUGUUAAUAGCAUACUCAUUUGACGUUAGCUGCAGAAGAAGCACCGGCUAACUCCGUGCCAGCAGCCGCGGUAAUACGGAGGGUGCGAGCGUUAAUCGGAAUUACUGGGCGUAAAGCGCAUGCAGGUGGUUUGUUAAGUCAGAUGUGAAAGCCCGGGGCUCAACCUCGGAAUUGCAUUUGAAACUGGCAAACUAGAGUACUGUAGAGGGGGUAGAAUUUCAGGUGUAGCGGUGAAAUGCGUAGAGAUCUGAAGGAAUACCGGUGGCGAAGGCGGCCCCCCUGGACAGAUACUGACACUCAGAUGCGAAAGCGUGGGGAGCAAACAGGAUUAGAUACCCUGGUAG